GAGCACUAGCACGUCUUGGAUGGCCAGAA
rnacentral:piRNA from 1 species